rnacentral:lncRNA from 1 species
GUUUCAAGGUCUUUAGUUCUACUUCCUGAAUAAAGGCCUACUUUAUGUCUAACAUUAGACCUACUUCCUGACUACAGGUAUAAAGGCCUACUUUAGGUCUAACAUUAGAUCUACUUCCUGACUACAGGUAUAAAGGUCUAUAGUUCUACUGCCUGACUACAGGUAUAAAGGUCUUUAGUUCUACUUCCUGACUACAGGUAUAAAGGUCAAGAGUUUUACUUUCAGCCUCUUUUUAAGGUUUAAAUGUCAACUCAGUCAUCAGAAUGUGCGUUUCUUUCUUCAUAGAGUGUCUAUAGGUCUCUUAAGGUGUUGCUAUCUAAUGUGAACACCUCAAAGCUGAACAUUUUCCAUUGACGUCACGUUGGUGUGAAACCUGUUUACCUCGAUGCUAGACCCUCCUCUUCCUGUCACAACAUGGGUUUCAGAGAAAAGGACCACGAGCUGAAAACUUUCCACUCAAUUGAACCAAUCGCUGCUCGUAUGUCCUUUCAUGGUAAAGUACAUCGAGUCAUGAACACGGAAAUACGCAGCAAAGACCUUGUUACUCAAAGACCCAGCUACUCUCUGACAGUCACCAUCAGACCAUCAGACCACCAGAUGGACAGGCUGUGUGUUUCUCUGAUUGCAUUCUUAUGUGCUGUUUCCGCCAGUCAGGAUGGGAUCUCUGCAGCAGAGGUGGAGCUGAGAGUCAGACCAGGAGACAGUGCUGCAACUGAGACCACGACCAGGGGAAGUGAGAGAAAGGAGAAAGAGGAAGGAGACCUGUUUUACGCCUCGUUGGAUAUCCGUCAGGGACAGAGGAGACCAAAGAAGAAGAAGAAGAGAGUCCAGAACUCUGACUUCAGUACCUACACAGCCAUCAAUACCAGCAGAGUGAGACCUAUACCAGCCAUCAAUACCAGCAGAGUGUGAGACCUAUACCAUCCAUCAAUACCAGCAGAGUGAGACCUAUACCAUCCAUCAAUACCAGCAGAGUGUGAGACCUAUACCAUCCAUCAAUACCAGCAGAGUGAGACCUAUACCAUCCAUCAAUACCA